rnacentral:rRNA from 1 species
GACGAACGCUGGCGGCGUGCUUAACACAUGCAAGUCGAACGGAAAGGCCUGUCCUUCCUUGUGUUGGACGGGUACUCGAGUGGCGAACGGGUGAGUAACACGUGAGUGAUCUGCCCCCAACUUGGGUAUAAGCCUGGGAAACUGGGUCUAAUUCCCGAUAGGACUGCAGGGUGGUGCCUGUGGUGGAAAACGAUUUUCUAGUGGUUGGGGAUGAGCUCGCGGCCUAUCAGCUUGUUGGUGGGGUAAUGGCCUACCAAGGCGGCGACGGGUAGCCGGCCUGAGAGGGUGGACGGCCACAUUGGGACUGAGAGAAGGCCCAGACUCCUACGGGAGGCAGGAGUGGGGAAUAUUGGACAAUGGGCGGGAGCCUGAUGCAGCGACGGCGCGUGGGGGAUGACGGCCUUCGGGUUGUAAACUCCUUGCGACCGCGAGGAAGCCGACUGGUUGGAAGGGUGGUGACGGUAGUGGUAGAAGAAGCACCGGCUAACUACGUG